CGCGAAUGGCUCAUUACAACAGCUAUAAUUUACUUGAAUUUGACAACCCUACUUGGAUACCGGUGGUAAUUCUAGCGCCAAUACAUGCACCAAAGCUCCGACCGCGAGGGAAGAGCGCAUUUAUUAGAACAAAACCACACGGCUUCGGCCGUCCAAUGUUGACUCAGAAUAACUAAGCUGAUCGCAUGGUCUUGCACCGGCGACGUUUCUUUCAAGUAUCUGCCUUAUUAACUUUCGAUGGUAGUGUAUCUGACUACCAUGGUGAUGACGGGUAUCGGAGGAUAAAGGUUCGACUCCGGAGAAGGGGUCUGAGAAAUGGCCACUACGUCUAAGGAUGGCAGCAGGCGCGCAAAUUACCCACUCUCAGUACGAGGAGGUAGUGACGAGAAAUAACAAGACCGUUCUCACAAGAGGCCGGUCAUUGGAAUGGGUACAAUUUAAACCCUUUAACGAGUAUCUAUGAGAGGGCAAGUCUGGUGCCAGCAGCCGCGGUAAUUCCAGCU
rnacentral:rRNA from 1 species